CGAUAUUCGAUAAGAUUCAGAUCAAAUAGUAAUGACCACCAAAGCUCCCUCUUCUUCUGGGUUCUUGCUUCUCAUCUAAAUGAAGUUCAUAAGUAAUCUGUGCAUGUUUAAGAAAUUGUGACAUUCUGGUUGAGUAUACGGAAGGGUGUCUUUAAGUCUGUGCAACUUGACAAAGUUUAUUUUUCAGGAGCAAGGCCCAUGUAAGUGAGGCUACAUUCUCGAUUGGCUUCUUUUUAGUGGGUACCAUAGUAUUUCACCUAGAGGCCUGGAACAAUGGCACAUGCUUCCGGUAUCAUUUCCAUUGCCUACUGAACAUGCUGGAUUAAGGGCUAUACCUGCAGUACGUGCUCCCCAUAUGGUCUUCUUCGUCGUUCUCAAUUGCCAGAAAUCAGCCGUGGCUGUCGAUCUCCACCGCACCCACCACGGCGCCAAAACUCCUCUUUUCUGCCCCUGUUUUCUCGCCGGGAAGUUUGAAGUAGUUGGUUCUCAUUCAGAACUCCUUUGCAGGCGCUGAUCCUCAUUGCGAACACGUCUAAGGCCUUCAUUCUCCGAUAUGCACACUGGCCGAGGCUAGAAAUCCAAUUAACCAACGUAAAAUCCAUUAACUCUGUUUCUGUCGCCUACGAAUGAAACAGAGGCCUUGAGCUCUAUUUGAUGUUUGUGAGAAAAGAAGUUGUGACUGAAGCUCUUUUAAUGUGUUUAAUGUGUGUUAAUAUUGUUGUGAUGAUUUGAAAUUAAGUCGUCGCUUUAUCUGUGUACAAGUUCAUUGAUCGAAAUGUAUAUCACUCGUUUGAUGAAAUGCUUGAACUAAAUAAAUUAGGAUAUGCUUCUAUUCAA